CCUACGGGAGGCAGCAGUGAGGAAUAUUGGUCAAUGGACGAGAGUCUGAACCAGCCAAGUAGCGUGAAGGAUGACUGCCCUAUGGGUUGUAAACUUCUUUUAUAUGGGAAUAAAAUGUUCCACGUGUGGGAUUUUGUAUGUACCAUAUGAAUAAGGAUCGGGUAACUCCGUGCCAGCAGCCGCGGUAAUACGGAGGAUCCGAGCGUUAUCCGGAUUUAUUGGGUUUAAAGGGAGCGUAGGUGGAUCGUUAAGGCAGUUGUGAAAGUUUGGGGCUCAACCGUAAAAGUGCAGUUGAAACUGGAAGUCUUGAGUACAGUAGAGGUGGGCGGAAUUCGUGGUGUAGCGGUGAAAUGCUUAGAUAUCACGAAGAACUCCGAUUGCGAAGGCAGCUCACUGGACUGCAACUGACACUGAGGCUCGAAAGUGUGGGUAUCAAACAGGAUUAGAUACCCGGGUAGUC
rnacentral:rRNA from 1 species